rnacentral:rRNA from 1 species
AUUGAACGCUGGCGGCAUGCCUUACACAUGCAAGUCGAGCGGCAGCGCGGGGGCAACCCUGGCGGCGAGCGGCGAACGGGUGAGUAAUACAUCGGAACGUGUCCAGUAGCGGGGGAUAACCUGUCGAAAGAUAGGCUAAUACCGCGUACGACCUACGGGUGAAAGCGGGGGACCGCAAGGCCUCGCACUAUUGGAGCGGCCGAUGUCGGAUUAGCUAGUUGGCGGGGUAACGGCCCACCAAGGCGACGAUCCGUAGCUGGUCUGAGAGGACGACCAGCCACACUGGAACUGAGACACGGUCCAGACUCCUACGGGAGGCAGCAGUGGGGAAUUUUGGACAAUGGGCGCAAGCCUGAUCCAGCCAUGCCGCGUGAGUGAAGAAGGCCU